rnacentral:rRNA from 1 species
GAGGCGAAAAGUUGGUGCGUACUGACGGAAUAGUACGUUGAAUCCAGUGGUAACACGGAGAUAGUACACAAAAGCUACGGCCGGCGUGAUAAUCCAGCGGAUCGACUUCCAAGAAAAGCGAGUGGUGGCAACCCGUACCGUAAACCGACACAGGUAGUUGGGAUGAGAAUUCUAAGGUGCUCGAGAGAUUCAUGGCUAAGGAACUAGGCAAAUUCGAUCCGUAACUUCGGGAGAAGGAUCCCCUGACUAUGUCAGGGCGCAGUGAAAAGGCCCAAGCGACUGUUUACCAAAAACACAUGUCUCUGCUAAGCCGCAAGGCGAUGUAUAGGGACUGACACCUGCCCGGUGCUGGAAGGUUAAAGAAGGGGGUUAGCUUCGGCGAAGCCCUUGACUGAAGCCCCAGUAAACGGCGGCCGUAACUAUAACGGUCCUAAGGUAGCGAAAU